rnacentral:lncRNA from 1 species
CUCCUCCCUACUCUUAGGGUUACUGAGUUCAAAUGGGGUGAACAGGAAGAAAGUGAACCCUGAUAUAGGCACAGCCGAGCUUCAUCUCCCCCCACUUCCUGAUGAAUCUGGGGUGUGCUGUUCCCAUGGUGCUGGCUUAGAAGUGACCUUCAGAAUCCAUCCCCCUGAAGUUAUGAAAGAGCUGCUGUGGCUCUCCACUGGCCCAAAUGGGAUCAAGGACCAACCUCGGCCUCCAUUCAAAACCCUCUCCCACUCAUAUCUGUUUCUCCUCACUCUCCAGGAUACACCAGUAACUUCCUCAAACAAACCUUCCUCCCCUUUAUUUGUGAUUUCAGGGUCCCGACUGUACUUGUCAUCAAGAUCUGCUCUUCCUCCAACUAUUUUUGAAAUUAGAGAAGGCUAUCCCCACAUACCCAGGAGCUGGAGCCUGAAACCCGGGGUAUAUUAUCCUCAACUCCUUUUCCUCACUAUCCACAUUUAUACUAGCCCACAGUCAUGAAGCUUCUGUUUUCUGGGAGUCCAGCUCCUGUGUCUCUCAAGGACCCCAGGACCUUGUGGAACAUGUGGGGCCUUUACUGAAUAGCCACACACCUUUGCUCUGCUGGGCCCUGUGCCGACACUGGAGGCACAAAGGUGGGUCAGUCUUUAUCCUUAGGGGCCCCAGGCCAGUGGGGAGUCACGUGACCACUCUCCUGGACUUGCUUAUUCAAUCUCUUUACGUUUUAAGCCCCUACACAGUAGAAACAUGGUAAGAUCUGCAAACACGGGUGGAGAGAACUGGCUGAGUGACCAUGGGGAAGCUCUCUCCCCCUCUGGCCCUCUGUUUUGCUAUCUGCAUAAUGGAAUUGAAUCGAAUAAAGGAUGAGUGGGGGCUUUUCCAGUUCCAACAGUCUUGGAAGCAACGCCUCUCCAAGCCAGGGAGCCAGAGGAGGAGCGGAGGAGGAGGAGGGAGACAGAGACAGGGCUGCUUAGAUGCCCCCCCCCUUCCCCGCCCACUAAGGAGGAGGAGGUCCCUCUCCUGCCAGGCAGUUCCUUGUAGCCCCACCCCUCUCCCUUACCUCUCCUCCUCAGGCUGUGUAAAGCCUUUUGCCUAAAGCAGAGAAGCUACUGGUUAGCUCCUUCCCAAGCUCGGCUGGGCUAUCUGACUGGCCCACAGCCUAACCCGGCUGGUGACUGGUGGCUUCUCUCCAGCUGGCAUAGGGCUGGAGUCCAGGCUGGGAAAGGAGAGCCCUGCGGAUCUCUGCCCAGUGGCUGCUGCAGCGAAGAGUUUGUGAGUCAGACCGACCUGGGUUCCAACCCCAGCCGGGCCACUUUAUAGCUGUGAGACUGUAAUAGUUAGUUUCUUGUGUCAGUUGACUGGCUCACAGGGACACAGGCUUGGACUGACAAGGGCUUACAGAGGCUUUGGGCAGUUUGCUGGCUCACUCUGAGCCUGUAUUUUGAAAUUUGUAAAAAAUGGAAAUCAUAAUUCCUUGCACAAGUACCAUUCCCUCCUUUAGAAUUCCCAUUAUUUAUGGAAAAGAGCUCGGAACCUUCUUUGUGAGCAUUUCAACGCUCUUCUCCACCAUGCCCUACCAAGACUCAUUUCCCCCUCACUGACUGGAUGCACUAGCUAGACACCAUUCCCUUUCCAGCCCCCAUCGCUUUGCAGCAGCUGUUCCCUUCCCGUGAAACACAGGCCUAGUCUUGUCUUUCGUCUGCUUGGUAAACUCUCAUGCAUCCCUGAGGGUCCAGCUCUGUAGUGUCCUCUUAGAGCCUUCCCUGACGCCAUUAGGAGUUGUGUUGCAAUGCCUGGCACACCCUUUGGCUGUCACGCUGUUCAGGCCUUGGUGGGAUUGUAGGCCUGUGUGUCUGUCUUCCCAGACUGUGAGCUCCUCAUCUCUGUACGUAAGAGAGUGAUGGUUUCCCUUUGUGUUGUUUUGGUGUUCUUCAGUUUAUGAAGUACUUUCUCAGAUCCAUGAUUUCACUUAAACUCAGCACCAAGGGGAAGGAGGCAGAGCCAGGAUUAAAACCCCCCAGUAAGGGAUGGCUAGGUGGCUCAGUGGCUGAAUGUCUGCCUUUGGCUUAGGGUGUGAUCCCAGGAUCCAGGAUCGAGUCCUACAUUGGGCUCCCUGCAAGGAGCCUGCUUCUCUCUCUGCCUAUGUCUCUACCUCUCUUUCUCUGUGUCUCUCAUGAGUAAAUAAAUAAAUCUUAAAAAAAAAAAAAAAAA